rnacentral:rRNA from 1 species
AUUGAACGCUGGCGGAAUGCUUUACACAUGCAAGUCGAACGGCAGCACGGACUUCGGUCUGGUGGCGAGUGGCGAACGGGUGAGUAAUGUAUCGGAACGUGCCCAGUCGUGGGGGAUAACGUAGUGAAAAUUACGCUAAUACCGCAUACGAUCUAUGGAUGAAAGCGGGGGAUCGCAAGACCUCGCGCGAUUGGAGCGGCCGAUAUAAGAUUAGGUAGUUGGUGGGGUAAAGGCCCACCAAGCCAACGAUCUGUAGCUGGUCUGAGAGGACGAACAGCCACACUGGAACUGAGACACGGUCCAGACUCCUACGGGAGGCAGCAGUGGGGAAUUUUGGACAAUGGGCGAAAGCCUGAUCCAGCCAUUCCGCGUGCAGGAUGAAGGCCCUCGGGUUGUAAACUGCUUUUGUACAGAACGAAAAGGUUUCUACUAAUACUAGGAGCUCAUGACGGUACUGUAAGAAUAAGCACCGGCUAACUACGUGCCAGCAGCCGCUGUAA